AAUCAACGCUGGCGGCGUGCCUAACACAUGCAAGUCGAACGCGAAAGCCCGCAAGGGUAAGUAGAGUGGCGCACGGGUGAGUAACACGUGGACAACCUGCCUUCGAGUGGGGAAUAACCUUCCGAAAGGAGGGCUAAUACCGCAUAACACCUCGGGACACAAGUUCUGGGGUUGAAAAGAGCAAUUUGCUCGAAGAGGGGUCCGCGCCUGAUUAGCUAGUUGGUGAGGUAACGGCUCACCAAGGCUUCGAUCAGUAGCCGUCCUGAGAGGGAGCACGGCCACACUGGAACUGGAGAC
rnacentral:rRNA from 1 species